CAACUACUCCCUCUGUCCCAAAUUUCUUGUCUUAGAUUUGUCUAGAUACAGAUGUAUCUAAUACUAAAAUGUGACUUGAUACAUCCGUAUCUAGACAAAUCUAAGACAAGAACUUUGGGAUGGAGGGAGUACUUU
rnacentral:pre_miRNA from 1 species